UUCCUCCAUGGGUGGCCAGCGGCCGAGGACGACGGUGGGCUGAGAUUAUACGGCCUCGAACUUGAUCUGGGUAAUACCAGCGAAAGGAUCAUGCAACCUAACAAAA
rnacentral:ncRNA from 1 species